rnacentral:tRNA from 1 species
UCCGGUGUGCUUACCAUGUUACGAGAGGACGUUAUGCCAC